GUUUUGGGAAAGCCGGCCGGAGAGGGUGAAAGCCCCGUAGACGAAAACAGAGCAGACUGAGCAGGAUCCAGAGUACCGCGGGACACGAGAAACCCUGCGGGAAGUGAGGGGGACCACCCCCUAAGGCUAAAUACUACUUAGUGACCGAUAGCGCAUAGUACUGUGAAGGAAAGGUGAAAAGGACCCCGGGAGGGGAGUGAAAGAGAACCUGAAACCCUGUGUCUACAAGCUGUGGAAGUGCUUUAUAUGCACGACCGCGUACUUUUUGUAGAACGGUCCGGCGAGUUACGCUUACUGGCAAGGUUAAGCACUUCAGGUGUGGAGCCGUAGGGAAACCAAGUCUUAAGAGGGCCAGAGUCAGUAGGAGUAGACCCGAAACCGGGUGAUCUAUCCAUGUCCAGGUUGAAGCUGCCGUAAGAGGUAGUGGAGGACCGAACCCACAUCCGUUGAAAAGGGUGGGGAUGAGGUGUGGAUAGGGGAGAAAUUCCAAUCGAACCCGGAGAUAGCUGGUUCUCCUCGAAAUAGCUUUAGGGCUAGCCUUGGUAGAGAUUUGCGGAGGUAGAGCACUGAAUUUCCUAGGGGGCGUCAAAGCCUACCGAAGAAUAUCAAACUCCGAAUGCCGUGUAAUUGCUUACCAGGAGUCAGACUGCACGAGAUAAGUUGGGCAGUCAAAAGGGAAAGAGCCCAGACCUUCAGUUAAGGUCCCAAAGUGUACGUUAAGUGGAAAAGGAUGUGGGGUCUCGAAGACAACCAGGAUGUUGGCUCAGAAGCAGCCAUUCAUUCAAAGAGUGCGUAAUAGCUCACUGGUCGAGAGGUCCUGCGCCGAAAAUGUCCGGGGCUGAAACGCACCACCGAAACUAAGGGAUCCGAAAGGAUCGGUAGAGGAGCAUUGCAUGCGGGACGAAGCAGUACCGUAAGGAGCUGUGGACUGCAUGGAAGAGAGAAUGCCGGAAUGAGUAGCGAGAUAGAGGUGGGAAUCCUCUAGGCCGAAUAUCCAAGGUUUCCAGAGUAAAGCUGAUCUGCUCUGGGUAAGUCGGGGCCUAAGGCGAGGACGAGAGUCGUAGCCGAUGGACAACAGGUGGAGAUUCCUGUACUAUGAUAUGACAGAACUGUGGGGACACGUGCAGAGAGCGGAAGCCGGGAAUGGGAUCCCGGUGCAAGCGAGGUACCAGCCGCAUUGGAAAAACCGUGCGGCAAUGGGAAGACGUGAUGCGGAGUGAAGUUUAGUAAUGAAGUCCGUGAGCUGUGCGUCAAGAAAAGCCGCUAUUGUUCAUACCAUACCCGUACCGUAAACCGACACAGGUGGAUGAGGAGAGAAUCCUAAGGCCGGCGGAAGAAGCAUUGUCAAGGAACUCGGCAAAAUGACCCCGUAACUUCGGGAGAAGGGGUGCCUGCGAGAGCAGGCCGCAGAGAAUAGGCUCAAGCAACUGUUUAGCAAAAACACAGGUCUAUGCGAAACCGAAAGGUGAGGUAUAUGGGCUGACGCCUGCCCGGUGCUGGAAGGUUAAGAGGAGAGGUUAGCGGUAACGCGAAGCUUUGAAUUUAAGCCCCAGUAAACGGCGGCCGUAACUAUAACGGUCCUAAGUUAGCGAAAUUCCUUGUCGUGUAAGUUCCGACCCGCACGAAAGGCGUAAUGAUUUGAGCGCUGUCUCGACAAUGCAUCCGGUGAAAUUGAAGUACCAGUGAAGAUGCUGGUUACC
rnacentral:rRNA from 1 species